GGAUUGACACAUCGGUCGUGCCCUAAGGGGUAUGAACUGGUGUAGUCAAUUUCUCACCUUCUGGAGAACCGCGAUGCCCUUAAUUGGGUGUCACGGGGAACCAGGACCUUUACUUUGAAAAAAUUAGAGUGUUCAAAGCAGGCGUAAGCCAUUGAAUAUUACAGCAUGGGAUAAUAGAAU
rnacentral:rRNA from 1 species